UCAGUGGAUCCUUGAAUUUUUGGACGCCCCCUGCGCUUCCUGGUAUUUCGGGGAGCCCGCCUGUUCGAGUGUYGUGAAAUUCUCAAACCCGGAAGCUUUUUUUGUUUCUCGGCUUGGUGUUGGGCUUUGCAGUUCCUUUGAUUGGGAUAGCUGGCCUCAAAAGCAUUAGCUGGCUUUUAAUGUGGCAUUGGUUCUACUCAGCGUGAUAAUGAUCUGACCGCCGAGGACAUCUUUCGGGAUGGCCAAUUCUCAUUUGGGGCUGCUUCUAAUUUUGGUAGAGCGGAUUCUGAAUCUGUUCCACUUUUCAGCUUUGACCUCGAAUCAGGUGGGACUACCCGC
rnacentral:rRNA from 1 species